rnacentral:tmRNA from 1 species
GGGGCUGCACUGGUUUCGACGUGGGUUCGGACGCGCAGCAGGGCAUGUCGAGGUUCUGUCACCUCGUUAAACCGCAGAAAAAAAACUAACUGCAAACGACGAACGUUUCGCACUCGCCGCUUAAUUGCCGGUGAGCUUUGCAACAGCAGGCCUAUGGGCUGGGCAAGGGUUCAGACGGCGCAAGCCGCGAGAGUCCAGGCUGCAAAGAUAAUUCAAUAG